GGAUGAAAGAGGUGAGCACAGAGUGGAUGAAAGAGGUGAGCACAGAGUGGAUGAAUGAGGUGAGCACAGAGUGGAUGAAUGAGGUGAGCACAGAGUGGAUGAAUGAGGUGAGCACAGAGUGGAUGAAUGAGGUGAGCACAGAGUGGAUGAAUGAGGUGAGCACAGAGUGGAUGAAAGAGGUGAGCACAGAGUGGAUGCUUGUUGGAGAAUGAUAACAAUAGCUGUGCUAGCAGGUUUCCUUUCCUCUUAAAACAUUUAACACUUUCUAUAGUAGAACCUGUUCUUUGGCAUUGUGGUAUAAUUUUUAAAAAUAAUGCAGAUUUCCUUAAAUGCCUAAAAUAUGGUUAUUAUCACUUUUAUCCCCCAAAUGAAAGAUUUUUCUCACAAUGUGAGUACAUGUCCUAGAAAGAAUUUGUGUAGAAAAUCAUUCCUGUCUCACAGUGACCUUUACCUUAUUGUAACUCUGUUAAAUUCAUCUGCAAUUGUUAGGUUACCCUUUCAUACAAUAUUAAAAGUUUGUAUGUUUAGUUUGAUGUAUACCUACCGAGCAAUAGACCGUCAUUAGUGUCAGUGACUGUUCAGUGCAAGCAAUCCUGUC